UGAAAUCAAAAUUUAAUUAAUUUAAAUCUAAACAUUAAUGUUAUAAUUAUAUACUUCAUGGAAAAUUAGCAACAAAAAUAUUAAUUAAUGGUAUUCUUACAAAAAAAAAAUCAAAUUUUAAAACAAAUAAUAUAAUAAUAAAUUGAGUAAUAUACUUUAAAUAAUAUGUCAAUUCAACAUUGAAAUAUAUUGAUAUUGAAACGGUUAUGUAGCCUCCAAAAACAUUAAAUUUGUUUUAUUUUAAUAGCACAUUUGUCUUUAAUGUUGAUAUACGGAAAAAAAAU
rnacentral:lncRNA from 1 species